rnacentral:rRNA from 1 species
CCUACGGGAGGCAGCAGUGAGGAAUAUUGGUCAAUGGACGAGAGUCUGAACCAGCCAAGUAGCGUGAAGGAUGACUGCCCUAUGGGUUGUAAACUUCUUUUAUAUGGGAAUAAAACGUUCCACGUGUGGGAUUUUGUAUGUACCAUAUGAAUAAGGAUCGGCUAACUCCGUGCCAGCAGCCGCGGUAAUACGGAGGAUCCGAGCGUUAUCCAGAUUUAUUGGGUUUAAAGGGAGCGUAGGUGGAUUGUUAAGUCAGUUGUGAAAGUUUGCGGCUCAACCGUAAAAUUGCAGUUGAAACUGGCAGUCUUGAGUACAGUAGAGGUGGGCGGAAUUCGUGGUGUAGCGGUGAAAUGCUUAGAUAUCACGAAGAACUCCGAUUGCGAAGGCAGUUCACUGGACUGCAACUGACACUGAGGCUCGAAAGUGUGGGUAUCAAACAGGAUUAGAUACCAGGGUAGUC